rnacentral:rRNA from 1 species
UACGUAGGGGGCAAGCGUUGUCCGGAAUCAUUGGGCGUAAAGCGCGCGUAGGUGGCCCAGUAAGUCCGCUCUGAAAGUCAAAGGCUCAACCUUUGAAAGCGGGUGGAUACUGCUGGGCUAGAGUCCGGAAGAGGCGAGUGGAAUUCCUGGUGUAGCGGUGGAAUGCGCAGAUAUCAGGAGGAACACCAACGGCGAAGGCAGCUCGCUGGGACGGUACUGACACUAAGGCGCGAAAGCGUGGGGAGCGAACAGG